rnacentral:rRNA from 1 species
AAGGAGGAUCCAAGCGUUAUCCGGAAUCAUUGGGUUUAAAGGGUCCGUAGGCGGUUUAGUAAGUCAGUGGUGAAAGCCCAUCGCUCAACGGUGGAACGGCCAUUGAUACUGCUAAACUUGAAUUAUUAGGAAGUAACUAGAAUAUGUAGUGUAGCGGUGAAAUGCUUAGAGAUUACAUGGAAUACCAAUUGCGAAGGCAGGUUACUACUAAUAUAUUGACGCUGAUGGACGAAAGCGUGGGUAGCGAACAGGAUUAGAUACCCUGGUAGUCCACGCCGUAAACGAUGGAUACUAGCUGUUGGGAGCAAUCUCAGUGGCUAAGCGAAAGUGAUAAGUAUCCCACCUGGGGAGUACGUUCGCAAGAAUG